GCCUGGGUGACUGAGUCAGUUAAGUGUCUGACUUUAGCUCAGGUCACGAUCUCAUGGUUUGUGAGUUCAAGCCCCACAUCAGGCU
rnacentral:tRNA from 1 species